UACGUAGGGGGCAAGCGUUGUCCGGAUUUAUUGGGCGUAAAGCGCUCGCAGGUGGCCCGAUGCGUCGUGCGUGAAAGCCCCCGGCUCAACUGGGGAGUGUCGUGCGAUACGGUCGGGCUGGAGGCCAGUAGGGGGAUGCGGAAUUCCGGGUGUAGUGGUGGAAUGCGCAGAUAUCAGGAGGAACACCUAUGGCGAAGGCAGCACUCUGGUACGUGACUGACGCUGAGACGCGAAAGCGUGGGGAGCAAACAGG
rnacentral:rRNA from 1 species